rnacentral:rRNA from 1 species
GCUUGUCUCAAAGAUUAAGCCAUGCAUGUUCAAGUAUAGCAAGUGUACAGUGAAACUGCGAAUGGCUCAUUACAUCAGUUAUAGUUUAUUUGAUGGUCCUUGCUACUUGGAUAACCGUAGUAAUUCUAGAGCUAAUACAUGCAUAAAACCCUAACUUCUGGAAAGGGUGUAUUUAUUAGAUGGAAACCAAUGCGGGGCAACCCGGUAUAUGGUGAUUCAUAAUAACUUUCGGAUCGAUCUUCGGAUCGAUGCAUCAUUCAAGUUUCUGCCCUAUCAGCUUUGGAUGGUAGGGUAUUGGCCUACCAUGGCUUUAACGGGUAACGGAGAAUUAGGGUUCGAUUCCGGAGAGGGAGCCUGAGAAAUGGCUACCACAUCCAAGGAAGGCAGCAGG